GGAGUAUUUCUAUCUGAAUGUCUUCAUGGUGCCAGGGGCUCUUUAUCUCCCUCAGAUACUACUGUUCUAAAAGGUGGAUUCCUGGUAUGCUGCCCCCUGGAAGAUCAGCCACCAAGUAUAGAGACCGAAAACCCCAUGGAUAGGAUGCUAUCAUAUUCUCUUCUUUCAUUACUACUUCAUAACAUCCUGCUCCCAUAACACUGAAGCUUGGAAGCUGGCAUCUGGCACCUUUUGAUUUUAACCCAUUUAUAACGCACUUUGUGUGAGCCAGAAAAGCUUGCUUGGGGAAGGGCUGAGAAUGCAUUCAUGGACAGCUGCUGAAACAGAAGUUAGAGAGGACAUCUGAUGCUGCUGUGGUCUGUGUGACACUUCUCGACAGACUCGACUGUGAUCAGAUCAACUUGCCUCAUGAUGUCCUGGUGGAGUACCAGCAACGGCCUCAGCUCCUAAUCUCCAACUUCAUCAGACGGCGGCUUGGACUUUGUGACUAGACGUCCUAACUGGGCAGCCCAACCCUCCCCUGCAAGUUUGUAGCUCAAGUUGUAAUGUGAAAGUCAUAUUUUAUUUGUGGCAUUUUUAUAUAGUUCUCAUCCACAUGCUAAAUGGAAAGACUUUAUGAAAUCCUUCUCUCUUAAAAAGGAAUUUAUUGUAAAAGAAUACUCACACUAAAUUAAAUUCAAAUUUCAUUUUAGAAUAAGUUAACUAAAUCAGUCUAAUAAUUAAAAUUUUAAAACUCCUGGAUUAUGACAUUUGGAGUUUCAUAUGCAGCAUUAAUUAAGCUCACAUCAAAAUAGACCAGCCAUUUGCAGAUAGUUACCAGUCACUCUGUUUCUGAAACCAAUCCAGAAAUUCAUGUUAGAACAUUGUCAGGCACUUCUAGGUAUUGGACAAGUGACAGA
rnacentral:sRNA from 1 species